GACGAACGCUGGCGGCGUGCUUAACACAUGCAAGUCGAACGGAAAGGCCCUGCUUUUGUGGGGUGCUCGAGUGGCGAACGGGUGAGUAACACGUGAGUAACCUGCCCUUGACUUUGGGAUAACUUCAGGAAACUGGGGCUAAUACCGGAUAGGAGCUCCUGCUGCAUGGUGGGGGUUGGAAAGUUUCGGCGGUUGGGGAUGGACUCGCGGCUUAUCAGCUUGUUGGUGGGGUAGUGGCUUACCAAGGCUUUGACGGGUAGCCGGCCUGAGAGGGUGACCGGCCACGUUGGGACUGAGAUACGGGCCAGACUCCUACGGGACGCAGCAGUGGGGAGUAUUGCACAAUGGGCGGAAGCCUGAUGCAGCAACGCCGCGUGCGGGAUGACGGCCUUCGGGUUGUAAACCGCUUUCGCCUGUGACGAAGCGUGAGUGACGGUAAUGGGUAAAGAAGCGCCGGCUAACUACGUG
rnacentral:rRNA from 1 species